AGGCUUCUGGGGCUCUACACGUGGGCGGGAGCGGAGAACUACGGAGGCCCGGAAGACCGGAGGGGGAGGCUAGGAAAGGAUGGAGUAGGAAGCGCCUGACUCCAGACCCUGGGGCCCCAGGGAUGAAGCCACAAAGGCCCCGGGCCCACUUCAGAGGAUGCCUUGGUCCAAGAGGGGCCAGGGCUGAUGCGCAGGCAGGCGAUGAGGAGCCUGGGACGGGGAGCGCAUUUCAGCUAUGGACAGCUUCUGGCCAAUAUAGGUGUUUCUGAUAUAAGAAACACCCCCAGGGGUAGCUACGUAUUGCAGUGGAUAGAGCACCAGCCCUGGAGUGAGGAGGACCUGAGUUCAAAUCCAGCCUCAGACACAUGAUACUCUCUGGGUGACCGUGGGCAAGUCACUUAACCCCGUUGUCUCACCAAAAAAAAAAAAGAAAGAAACUCCCCCUCUGAAGGGCUCAUUCCACCUUCCAUCUUCUCUGCUGGGGCCCCUGCUCUUCAUAGAAAAAAGUAGAGAGCUAAGGUUAAGCACUUAUUAUUGGGCCUGCAACACUAUUCUAAACUUUUGGGUAGUCAGUGCUCUAUCCUCAGCUCUUUGUUCCUAACCAUUGGAUCAACUGCAUCACAUGGUCCUAGUCACUAAGUUUAUUCUGCCAAUUGGGCCUUUAUUUGGAUUCGUCAGACAUGGAGGUGGGUAUGGAAGGCAUUGGAUGUGUUUUUUUCAGACGCCUGAGGAACAAUUUGAGUAUAACAUCAUGCUUUUUUCAUUGAUUUAUGCCCCUGCAAUUUUUUAGUGAUUUUUUUUCAUAACCUUGUGGACCCCUGUGAUAUUAUAACUUAACCCUAGGUCCCCAGUCAGCAUAUAACUUUGUUCAAAAUCAUCCUCCAAUGUCUAAGCAUCACAGUCUAUUAUCAGACCUUAGAAUAUGAGGAAGUGGAGUUUCUUGUAUAUAAAAUAGUAAUAAUUCUAGUGGAGAGGGUGAUGCAAAUGGAUCCAUGAGAAGUGGAUGUUGUACAACCUUGGGAGUUACCUAGGAUCACAGUGGCCUUUCAGUAAUAUCUGUUAUUUUAUUUGCUAGCCACUACAACCACUUUAUCCUAUGCUUUUCUGCUCUGAUUAUAUACCUCACUAAUAUACUCCAGUACUAAACGAUUUUUCACUGGACCCAACCAUCAAGAAACCUUUUAGGUAAACAGAAAAAUGAUUCAGCAUGGCACUGAUGCUGACCUUUUGUUGGGGAAAUAAAUAUCUCCAAUAUGCCA
rnacentral:lncRNA from 1 species